GGGUUGUGAGGUUAAGCGACUAAGCGUACACGGUGGAUGCCCUGGCAGUCAGAGGCGAUGAAGGACGUGCUAAUCUGCGAUAAGCGUCGGUAAGGUGAUAUGAACCGUUAUAACCGGCGAUUUCCGAAUGGGGAAACCCAGUGUGAUUCGUCACACUAUCAUUAACUGAAUCCAUAGGUUAAUGAGGCGAACCGGGGGAACUGAAACAUCUAAGUACCCCGAGGAAAAGAAAUCAACCGAGAUUCCCCCAGUAGCGGCGAGCGAACGGGGAGCAGCCCAGAGCCUGAAUCAGUGUGUGUGUUAGUGGAAGCGUCUGGAAAGGCGCGCGAUACAGGGUGACAGCCCCGUACACAAAAAUGCACAUGCUGUGAGCUCGAUGAGUAGGGCGGGACACGUGGUAUCCUGUCUGAAUAUGGGGGGACCAUCCUCCAAGGCUAAAUACUCCUGACUGACCGAUAGUGAACCAGUACCGUGAGGGAAAGGCGAAAAGAACCCCGGCGAGGGGAGUGAAAAAGAACCUGAAACCGUGUACGUACAAGCAGUGGGAGCACGCUUAGGCGUGUGACUGCGUACCUUUUGUAUAAUGGGUCAGCGACUUAUAUUCUGUAGCAAGGUUAACCGAAUAGGGGAGCCGAAGGGAAACCGAGUCUUAACUGGGCGUUAAGUUGCAGGGUAUAGACCCGAAACCCGGUGAUCUAGCCAUGGGCAGGUUGAAGGUUGGGUAACACUAACUGGAGGACCGAACCGACUAAUGUUGAAAAAUUAGCGGAUGACUUGUGGCUGGGGGUGAAAGGCCAAUCAAACCGGGAGAUAGCUGGUUCUCCCCGAAAGCUAUUUAGGUAGCGCCUCGUGAAUUCAUCUCCGGGGGUAGAGCACUGUUUCGGCAAGGGGGUCAUCCCGACUUACCAACCCGAUGCAAACUGCGAAUACCGGAGAAUGUUAUCACGGGAGACACACGGCGGGUGCUAACGUCCGUCGUGAAGAGGGAAACAACCCAGACCGCCAGCUAAGGUCCCAAAGUCAUGGUUAAGUGGGAAACGAUGUGGGAAGGCCCAGACAGCCAGGAUGUUGGCUUAGAAGCAGCCAUCAUUUAAAGAAAGCGUAAUAGCUCACUGGUCGAGUCGGCCUGCGCGGAAGAUGUAACGGGGCUAAACCAUGCACCGAAGCUGCGGCAGCGACACUAUGUGUUGUUGGGUAGGGGAGCGUUCUGUAAGCCUGCGAAGGUGUGCUGUGAGGCAUGCUGGAGGUAUCAGAAGUGCGAAUGCUGACAUAAGUAACGAUAAAGCGGGUGAAAAGCCCGCUCGCCGGAAGACCAAGGGUUCCUGUCCAACGUUAAUCGGGGCAGGGUGAGUCGACCCCUAAGGCGAGGCCGAAAGGCGUAGUCGAUGGGAAACAGGUUAAUAUUCCUGUACUUGGUGUUACUGCGAAGGGGGACGGAGAAGGCUAUGUUGGCCGGGCGACGGUUGUCCCGGUUUAAGCGUGUAGGCUGGUUUUCCAGGCAAAUCCGGAAAAUCAAGGCUGAGGCGUGAUGACGAGGCACUACGGUGCUGAAGCAACAAAUGCCCUGCUUCCAGGAAAAGCCUCUAAGCAUCAGGUAACAUCAAAUCGUACCCCAAACCGACACAGGUGGUCAGGUAGAGAAUACCAAGGCGCUUGAGAGAACUCGGGUGAAGGAACUAGGCAAAAUGGUGCCGUAACUUCGGGAGAAGGCACGCUGAUAUGUAGGUGAAGCGACUUGCUCGUGGAGCUGAAAUCAGUCGAAGAUACCAGCUGGCUGCAACUGUUUAUUAAAAACACAGCACUGUGCAAACACGAAAGUGGACGUAUACGGUGUGACGCCUGCCCGGUGCCGGAAGGUUAAUUGAUGGGGUCAGCGCAAGCGAAGCUCUUGAUCGAAGCCCCGGUAAACGGCGGCCGUAACUAUAACGGUCCUAAGGUAGCGAAAUUCCUUGUCGGGUAAGUUCCGACCUGCACGAAUGGCGUAAUGAUGGCCAGGCUGUCUCCACCCGAGACUCAGUGAAAUUGAACUCGCUGUGAAGAUGCAGUGUACCCGCGGCAAGACGGAAAGACCCCGUGAACCUUUACUAUAGCUUGACACUGAACAUUGAGCCUUGAUGUGUAGGAUAGGUGGGAGGCUUUGAAGUGUGGACGCCAGUCUGCAUGGAGCCGACCUUGAAAUACCACCCUUUAAUGUUUGAUGUUCUAACGUUGACCCGUAAUCCGGGUUGCGGACAGUGUCUGGUGGGUAGUUUGACUGGGGCGGUCUCCUCCUAAAGAGUAACGGAGGAGCACGAAGGUUGGCUAAUCCUGGUCGGACAUCAGGAGGUUAGUGCAAUGGCAUAAGCCAGCUUGACUGCGAGCGUGACGGCGCGAGCAGGUGCGAAAGCAGGUCAUAGUGAUCCGGUGGUUCUGAAUGGAAGGGCCAUCGCUCAACGGAUAAAAGGUACUCCGGGGAUAACAGGCUGAUACCGCCCAAGAGUUCAUAUCGACGGCGGUGUUUGGCACCUCGAUGUCGGCUCAUCACAUCCUGGGGCUGAAGUAGGUCCCAAGGGUAUGGCUGUUCGCCAUUUAAAGUGGUACGCGAGCUGGGUUUAGAACGUCGUGAGACAGUUCGGUCCCUAUCUGCCGUGGGCGCUGGAGAACUGAGGGGGGCUGCUCCUAGUACGAGAGGACCGGAGUGGACGCAUCACUGGUGUUCGGGUUGUCAUGCCAAUGGCACUGCCCGGUAGCUAAAUGCGGAAGAGAUAAGUGCUGAAAGCAUCUAAGCACGAAACUUGCCCCGAGAUGAGUUCUCCCUGACUCCUUGAGAGUCCUGAAGGAACGUUGAAGACGACGACGUUGAUAGGCCGGGUGUGUAAGCGCAGCGAUGCGUUGAGCUAACCGGUACUAAUGAACCGUGAGGCUUAACCUUACAACGCCGAAGCUGUU
rnacentral:rRNA from 1 species